ACGCUGGCGGCGUGCCUAAUACAUGCAAGUAGAACGCUGAAGGAGGAGCUUGCUUCUCUGGAUGAGUUGCGAACGGGUGAGUAACGCGUAGGUAACCUGCCUGGUAGCGGGGGAUAACUAUUGGAAACGAUAGCUAAUACCGCAUAACAGUAGAUGUUGCAUGACAUUUGCUUAAAAGGUGCAAUUGCAUCACUACCAGAUGGACCUGCGUUGUAUUAGCUAGUUGGUGGGGUAACGGCUCACCAAGGCGACGAUACAUAGCCGACCUGAGAGGGUGAUCGGCCACACAGGGACUGAGACACGGCCCAGACUCCUACGGGAGGCAGCAGUAGGGAAUCUUCGGCAAUGGACGGAAGUCUGACCGAGCAACGCCGCGUGAGUGAAGAAGGUUUUCGGAUCGUAAAGCUCUGUUGUAAGAGAAGAACAGGUGUGAGAGUGGAAAGUUCACACUGUGACGGUAUCUUACCAGAAAGGGACGGCUAACUACGUGCCAGCAGCCGCGGUAAUACGUAGGUCCCGAGCGUUGUCCGGAUUUAUUGGGCGUAAAGCGAGCGCAGGCGGUUAGAUAAGUCUGAAGUUAAAGGCUGUGGCUUAACCAUAGUACGCUUUGGAAACUGUUUAACUUGAGUGCAAGAGGGGAGAGUGGAAUUCCAUGUGUAGCGGUGAAAUGCGUAGAUAUAUGGAGGAACACCGGUGGCGAAAGCGGCUCUCUGGCUUGUAACUGACGCUGAGGCUCGAAAGCGUGGGGAGCAAACAGGAUUAGAUACCCCUGGUAGUCCACGCCGUAAACGAUGAGUGCUAGGUGUUAGACCCUUUCCGGGGUUUAGUGCCGCAGCUAACGCAUUAAGCACUCCGCCUGGGGAGUACGACCGCAAGGUUGAAACUCAAAGGAAUUGAC
rnacentral:rRNA from 1 species